rnacentral:rRNA from 1 species
AGAGUUUGAUCCUGGCUCAGAUUGAACGCUGGCGGAAUGCUUUACACAUGCAAGUCGAGCGGCAGCGCGGUCUUCGGACUGGCGGCGAGCGGCGAACGGGUGAGUAAUACAUCGGAACAUGCCCAGUCGUGGGGGAUAACACUUCGAAAGAAGUGCUAAUACCGCAUACGUCCUGAGGGAGAAAGCGGGGGAUCGCAAGACCUCGCGCGAUUGGAGUGGCCGAUGUCAGAUUAGCUAGUUGGUGGGGUAAAGGCCUACCAAGGCAACGAUCUGUAGCUGGUCUGAGAGGAUGAUCAGCCACACUGGGACUGAGACACGGCCCAGACUCCUACGGGAGGCAGCAGUGGGGAAUUUUGGACAAUGGGGGCAACCCUGAUCCAGCCAUUCCGCGUGAGUGAAGAAGGCCUUCGGGUUGUAAAGCUCUUUCGGCAGGAACGAAACGGUGAGCUCUAACAUAGCUCGCUAAUGACGGUACCUGAAGAAGAAGCACCGGCUAACUACGUGCCAGCAGCCGCGGAAAUACGUAGGGUGCGAGCGUUAAUCGGAAUUACUGGGCGUAAAGCGUGCGCAGGCGGUUGUGUAAGACAGGUGUGAAAUCCCCGGA